UUUUCUCUCCUGUCUCUUCUUCAAACUACUCGUUGGAAUAGCUGACUGCUAGCUUGCACGUGUGCUCUGCUGGUCUACUCGUCAGAUUUUGGAGUCUUGUAUCGUCGUUAUUCGUCUGAAGGUGAUCUGAGAACAGUUUGUCCUACAGCCUAUUGAGGGGCUGCAGUUUGUCAGAGAUCAGCUGUGCUUCUCUGGCCUCAGCUGUGAAGUCCAACCCCUCCCAUCUGAGAGAUCUGGACCUGAGAAAGUUGUGGUGACACUAAAGUGCAGACAUAAGGCUGAUAUUAUACUGAUCCACACUGAGGAUCUUAAUGCUAAAGUGUCUUUUCUUCUUCAGUGGUUUGGUCCAUUGACGGUGGCAGAGCAAUGUUGAGCUCCACAUUUAAAAGCUUAAUAUAACAAGAAACAUCUUCAUCAAACAUCAAAUCCAUGUUUUCACAGUAUUGUGGGAGUCAGAUCGUCACUGUUUAAAAGUAUUCCAGUUGUUUUAGAUCAGCCCAAACAAAGUGUUACCUGGAUGAUGACGUGCUUCAUCAAUACGUGACUGGACGACAGUACUCUGUGAUUGGUCGAUCAGCUCGCAGGUAACGUGGAGAGCUGGGAGAAGGUCUUACUUAUUGCUCAGGAACAUGUUUGUGAUUGUGAGACGAAUCUGGGAUGGAGGCAGUCCGCAGCUGCUGCGCACAACACGUGCACGUGUACGGCAACCAAAACCAGUAGGGCUCCAACCCCGGCAGCACAGUGCUCUGUAGAGGAGGCCAGUUUAGCGGCUGGAGAGGUGGUGGGCUGAGGCAGCGUGAAGUCUGACUCCCGCAUCAAUGGAGCCAUUGUUAUAUUCUUGGACAGCACGG